UACAGUAGUUGGUGUAGGUUGAAAG
rnacentral:miRNA from 1 species